rnacentral:rRNA from 1 species
AACGAACGCUGGCGGCAGGCUUAACACAUGCAAGUCGAGCGCCCCGCAAGGGGAGCGGCAGACGGGUGAGUAACGCGUGGGAAUCUACCCAUCUCUACGGAAUAACGCAUGGAAACGUGUGCUAAUACCGUAUACGUCCUUCGGGAGAAAGAUUUAUCGGAGAUGGAUGAGCCGGGGUUGGAUUAGCUAGUUGGUGGGGUAAAGGCCUACCAAGGCGACGAUGCAUAACUGGUCUGAGAGGAUGCUCAGCCACACUGGGACUGAGACACGGCCCAGGCUCGUCCGGGAGGCAGCAGUGGGGAAUAUUGAAAACUGGGCGCAAGCCUGAUCCAGCCAUGCCGCGUGAGUGAUGAAGGCCCUAGGGUUGUAAAGCUCUUUCACCGGUGAAGAUAAUGACGGUAACCGGAGAAGAAGCCCCGGCUAACUUCGUGCCAGCCGCCGCCGUAAAAC